GAACUUCAUGUUCAUGGACUUGGAGAGGCAGUCCGGGAGUCUGUUCUCCCCCUUAAAAGCUGCUUAGUCAAGAAGGCCAAUGCUGACACCAUCAAUAAAUUGCCAGGAAAGAACCUUGAAUUAGACCUACAGGAAACCCAUGUUCAUGUGUGAAAUGGAAAAUGUUUCUCGCCUAGAGCUCAGGGGUGUCUUGAGAAGUUACUGCCCCAUCCCUGUGGAAUAUACAAGACACAAAGGUUCUUUAAUGGUACCUUUAGCCAAGAAUAUACUGAGCUUGUUCCAAACAUGGAACCUCACAUAGCAUCAUAUUGGACCAAUGGAACCUGUGCAGUAAAAGCAAUAUGCCGUGGAUUAUAGAGAGAAUUAGAUAUGCCGCUUUACAAUCCACUGGUCAACAUCACAAGCCACCACACUCAGUGGUCCUGGAAAGAUGAUGGAAGGGUUCUACUAAAAAGACAUCCAGGAGAUGCAGCUUAAGGAAGAUAGCUCUUAUGUUUCAUAGUACGGAUGUAUCACCUAGAUUUACCCUCAUGGUAUAGCUGUCUCUUCUGAAUACACAGUCCAAUAUGUAAUUAGUAGAAGCAAAGGUGGUCUUAUAUCUGUCACUCCCACUAACCUGUGGAACAUGUGCUGCAGAUGCUUGCAGGUUUAGAAGCUUUGAUACUUAAACAGGUAUGCUGGCACAUGCAUUAUGGUAAAUAUCAAACUGCAGUCACUGCCCAUCACAUUGGAUUCUGCACAACAAGACCAACUGCUUCGACAAAAAUAAUUAACCUUGAUCCCUGAAAUCAGAAAAGGUAUUACCAUAUACGAGGUAAAGGUUUUAAUUUUUGACAUUCUCUUGCCAAGUUGUAUGGCAGAGGAACAAAUGAUCCAGGCAUGAACAGAAAAGGCAUGAAGACUCUGGGAACAGGUGUCUCAGAGAGAAGAAUCUGAGCCAUCAUUACAGGAUAAGUCACUCAGCCAUCAUAUACCCCAACCAAGGGGUUUAAGAGUAGAUGAUAGCAGUGAGACCUGAAAGGUUUCUGCUGUAGUCUGAGGAAUAGUCGCAACAGUGGUGGCUGCAGCUCACUCCACAAAUAUUCUUUUGAGUUUCCCUAGCAAAAGAUGGCCACCAGAGAGUCCUGAAGACUCAGGUUGUUAAAAGGGAAACCAAACAAGACCAAUGGAAAUAUCUGCAGAAUUCUAACCACUGUGUCCUUUGGUGGCUGGUUAUUGUUGCCAGGUAAAUGUGGCCUCUGUACCCAAGAGAAUGCCUGCUGCCCAAGACCAGCCUUCACUGAGUGACUGGAAGAUACUGAGCUACGGUGGACUUCCCUCGACAUUCUACGGAAUCACUCUAAAGGAUAUUAGGAUAUAUCUCGCAGGAUGUGCUGGGAUAUUCUUUGUGAUUGUAUUAUAUUUCUUUCAUGCUCAGGUUUUGAUUUCCAGGGUAAUCCCAAUAAACUUUAUAUGC
rnacentral:lncRNA from 1 species